rnacentral:rRNA from 1 species
CCUACGGGAGGCAGCAGUGGGGAAUAUUGGGCAAUGGGCGCAAGCCUGACCCAGCAACGCCGCGUGAAGGAAGAAGGCUUUCGGGUUGUAAACUUCUUUUGUCAGGGAAGAGUAGAAGACGGUACCUGACGAAUAAGCCACGGCUAACUACGUGCCAGCAGCCGCGGUAAUACGUAGGUGGCAAGCGUUGUCCGGAUUUACUGGGUGUAAAGGGCGUGUAGCCGGGUUGACAAGUCAGAUGUGAAAUCCUGCGGCUUAACCGCAGAACUGCAUUUGAAACUGUUGAUCUUGAGUACUGGAGAGGCAGACGGAAUUCCUAGUGUAGCGGUGAAAUGCGUAGAUAUUAGGAGGAACACCAGUGGCGAAGGCGACUUUCUGGACUGUACCUGACGCUGAGGCGCGAAAGCAUGGGGAGCGAAUAGGAUUAGAUACCCGAGUAGUC